rnacentral:rRNA from 1 species
ACGCUCGACACCUACGGGAGGCAGCAGUGGGGAAUAUUGCACAAUGGGGGAAACCCUGAUGCAGCGACGCCGCGUGGAGGAAGAAGGUUUUCGGAUUGUAAACUCCUGUUGUUGGGGAAAAAGAGGAUGGUACCCAACAAGGAAGUGACGGCUAACUACGUGCCACAGCCGCGGUAAUCUGAGCGGGCUGGCAAGGC